AAAAACAUGUCCUUUUGUUUUUAUAUAAGGUCUGACCUGCCCAAUGAUUAUUAUUUAAUGGCCGCGGUAUUUUAACUGUGCUAAGGUAGCAUAAUCAUUUGUCUUUUAAUUGAAGGCUGGUAUGAAUGGUUGGACGAGGCAUAGCCUUUCUUUAAUUUAAUUUAUGAACUUAAUUUUUUAGUUAAAAAGCUAAAAUUUAUUUGUUGGACGAGAAGACCCUAUAGAUCUUUAUAUUUAAUUUUAGUUAAGUAAUUUGGUUUAUUUAUUACUUUAAUUAAUUUAAGUAUUUGGUUGGGGUGACUGUAGAAUUUUAUUAACUUCUAUUUUUAUUUUUCAUUAAUUUAUGUAUUUUUGAUCCAUUAUUAGUGAUUAUAAGAUUAAGUUACCUUAGGGAUAACAGCGUAAUUUUUUUGGAGAGUUCAUAUCGAUAAAGAAGUUUGCGACCUCGAUGUUGGAUUAAAGUAAGUGGUAAGUGUAGCAGCUUAUUAACUAGGUCUGUUCGACCUUUAAUUUUUUACAUGAUCUGAGUUC
rnacentral:rRNA from 1 species